ACACAAGCUCCUCAGAAGUACAAGCGUGAGGUCGUGGAGCUCCGCACAAAAAAAUUCAGCACCGCAAUUUUAGCUUUUGCGACAAAUGCAAACGUAUUUAAUUGUCACUGACAGUGGCAUUGUCGUGAGACUUAAAAUCAAGUUAUUAAUGAAUGACAUACCUUUAGAAAAUACUAAUAGACCAUCGUAAUGGUCCCUGGUAGCAGAGCUAUUUUCCUCGCCUCUUGCGAAUCUCUACGGAUAGCGGUGCUUACCAAAUUUCAGUAAUUUAGCAUGUAUUUUGGCUAGUGCAGGAAAAUCGGGUUUAGUGAAAUAACAUGUUUGCAUAUAAAGCUUCGGCUCAACAGGGCACACGUAUGUUUAGAGCCAAGAUUUUAAGCAAAUGUGCUUUUAGAAGAAAAAUGAGUUCCAGGCUUGUUCUCGGCAUUGAGACGAGCUGUGACGAGACAGGUGCGGCUGUAAUGGAUGAAACAGGCUUAAUCCUUGGAGAAUCUCUUCAUUCACAAAAAGAGGUGCACAUGAAGACUGGUGGGAUUAUUCCCACUGUUGCCCAACGGCUCCACAGAGAGAACAUAGGCCGCGUCGUCCAGGAGGCCAUGGAGAGGAGUGGCGUCACCCAGAGUCAACUGUCUGCUGUAGCCACCACAGUGAAGCCGGGCCUGGCCCUGAGUCUGGGGAUAGGCCUGGACUUUAGCCUGAACUUUGUAAAGCUACACCAGAAGCCCUUCAUCCCCAUCCACCACAUGGAGGCCCAUGCCCUGACAGUCAGGAUGCUCCAGCCUGUAGUAUUCCCCUUCCUCGUCCUCCUAGUCUCCGGAGGUCACUCUCUCUUGGCUCUGGCCAGAGGAAUCGAUGACUUUCUUCUCCUGGGUCAAACACUGGAUGAAGCUCCGGGGGACACUAUGGACAAGGUGGCAAGACGUUUGUCACUCAUCAAACACCCAAAGUGCUCCAUGAUAAGUGGGGGUCAAGCAAUAGAGAUUCUGGCUCGAGAUGGAGACAGGUUGAAGUUUCUCUUCAAGCCACCAAUGGGAGCGCAAUAUGACUGUAACUUCUCAUUUGCUGGUCUGCGAAAUCAGGUGACGAUGUCAAUACAGAAAAAAGAGGAAGAGGAAGGUAAUAAAUAAUUCAUAAAGAUAUAAUAUGCAUUUAUAUCAUAACCUUUCCUUAAUCAACUAAUAUAAUCAGAUCACUUAAAUUGAAGGACAAUUCCACCCAAAAAAACAAUCUUUUGGUAUUUGUUUCAUUAGUCCAUUGUUGAUAUCGGCCCAACAUGUUUUGCAUGUCAGCCAGCCGUCAAGGUUUCGAGAUGUAUAACUUUCAAAAUACAGAAAUCCCAGCUAUAUUUCUUUAUUUUGAAAGUUAUAUCUUGAUCCUUGAUUGCUGAUAUGCAAAACAUUUUGGGACUAUAUCAACAAUGGACUAAUGAAACAAAUACCAAAAGACAAGUUUUGUGUGAAAAUGCACCUACAUGUUUUUUUUCAUCCAAGGUGUGGAGCAGGGAACUUUGUUGUCAUGUGUUAAUGACAUAGCUGCUGCUACGCAGCACACAGUGGCCUCUCACAUUGCCAAGCGCACACAUCGUGCCAUUUUGUUCUGUAAGGCCAAAGACCUUCUGCCUUCCUGCAAUCCAACACUGGUGGUGUCAGGAGGAGUUGCCAGUAACCAGUACAUCCGAAAGAUUUUGAAGAUUGUCACAGACACCACUGGAUUACAUUUGCUUUGUCCUCCAUCCAAGUUUUGUACUGACAAUGGAGUCAUGAUCGCAUGGAAUGGAGUUGAGAGACUGAGGGAAGGAAAGGGCAUCCUGUCCCAUACUGAGGAGGUCAACUAUGAGCCCAAAGCUCCCCUGGGUGUGAACAUAACAGCAGAAGUGAAGGAGGCAGCUAUCAAACUUCCACCAUUAAAGCUGAGGGUUACGGACUGACGUUCACUUAUGUACAUAUCCAUAUAAUUCCUACUAUUUACCAUUAAACUUUUGAAAUACAUCCUGGCAGAAAGGACUCCAUUCUGUGUUAGGUGUUUCAUUUAGUUUUUUUUAUUCAAUCGACUUCCAAUAUAUUAUACCAUUAAGUCAGUCAUUCCCAUUAAUAAUAUCAAUGUAAUAUAUUCAUCUUGAACAUAAAUAGAACGGCUCCCUGAGUCAUCAUUUCACUACAACUUUAAGCUAGCCCAGUCAGGCUAGAUCCUAGGCUGACCUCCAGGGUCACUGCUUUUGCCGGGGCCACUGGCUGUCCUUAUCCAGCCUCAGUGACUCCAGGGUGGGCUGGGAGCUAUGGGUUGGCCCCUCUCCCUGCAGCCUAACCUUGGGGUUGGCUGUCCUGCUCCUCUGGGGUUGAAGCUGGAGAACUGGAGCCGAGCUGGUCCUCCCAAAGUGGCCUGCAGACACUGACAGGCCAGGAGUGCGGCUUGUCUUUUUGGAUAAACCUGCCGUAGGUAGAGGCGACAAAGACGAUUGCGACUUUUUAUUAUAUGAAAUAGAUUCAAAUAAUGAUGUGUACAGCAUAACAAAAUGUACCUUUUUUGUUGCGCUGAGGAACAGGUGGGCCACCAUUUAUCUCCAAACUGUUUUAAAAAGGACAGAAAUGAUUGUUAUCCCAGUUAGAAAUAUGAAAGCAUAGCUUUUUAGGGCAAAAAAAACGAACGUACCUUAGUGAUGGCAGCCCCACUAUUUUCUGCCUUUCGAACUCUGCAGUAAAAAUGUGUGAGAUCUUGGCAUCCUCGAUGAGAUGCUGGGUCAAAAGGUUGUACAUAGAUGGAGUGUUUCGACAUUCCACCAACAAGAGGCGAUGUGCGUGACGGUUAAAGGUGAGGUAGCCGAGGGCACUUGAAGAUGCCGUUCGCACCUGAAGAUAUUCAAGAUUUUACCACAAUGCUUGUAUCAAAAAUCUGCACAUCGUAACCUGAAAUAUGUCAAGUUGGAUAGCAUUUGAUGGUUGUAGAAUGAAUUAUCUUGAUAGUCUGUUAGAUUUCAGGCAAUAGUCAUAGACAGGAAUGCUCCCCCUCACCACAAGUCCCAUCCUUACCUCUUCCUCCUCAGAAUACAGGUGAGCACAUAGGUGACCAACAGCUCCCAUGGUGACAAUAGCAUCAGGAAUACCUGCCCGGGUGUGAGCCAGACUGGCUAGCAACUGAGCUAUGGCAGAAAUGUAUGCAGUAAGUACUGGGCUGAAGUUACCUGUCAGGACCACAGUGUUGGGAUUAGUGGACUGCAGAAGGUCUACAAGGACAGUCACCCCUCUGGCAGACAGAGUCACCUGGUCCGUGUCUGUGAUCACUUUGGCCAGCACAACUAUCUGGAGAGACCAGUUACCACAAAACGAAAAGGUGUUGGGAUUCCCAAUGGAGGGAUAGACAGACAGGCAUUCCUGACUGCAUGCCUUCCUGUGCUCUGGCUGCGGGUGAUGAGUCUAGCAGAGGAAAGCCGUCUGGGGGCAGGAGGCGGCUGGUCUUGUGGUGACAGAGGCAGCGUACCCACGAGGAUCUUCCAGACAGGCAGGUCCGCCAGGCCCAGCGAGAUGAGGUGCCUGAGGACUUUCGGGUGGAAGUAGAGGGCGGCCAGCUGCACGACGU